AUGCCUGCAUUCUGGAAUUUCUCCUUCUCACGAGGAACACUAGGAUCACUAGGGCCAGGAUCUUGCUGGUCACGAUUCCAAUGACUAACCAAAGGAUGAUCUGCAACCUAGCAGACAAGCAAGCAAACAAACAAAACACACAAGAAAAAAGGGAUGCAGAAUUGGCCUGGACCGAUGGAGGGUUUCUGCAAUGAGGAUACAAAUGCACCCAGCCAAAUACUCCCUCUGGCGAUACUUCUGGGACAGGAUCGUUACAGCUGUUGCUGUGCUCUUGGGCAUCACUGCAGUAGCUGAAAUCCUGCUAGACAGGCCAGGCAAGACAAAAUGCAGAGCCGGGAGAUGUGCAUGGACUCCCCGGAAUGGACACGCUUACAAGGACAGACCCAGUGCCUUCAAGGAAAUCACCUCACGCUGCCUCAGCAGGCAUUCUCUGUCAGUCCAGCUUUGGGUUCCCAUCUCCAGGCUAAAGCUGCAAAACCAGCUACCUCCAAGUUUACGCCCUUUCUUCUCGGAAAGAGCCUGCUCAGCACGUCUAGGUGAGAAAGACGCUUUCACACCACUCUGGGCAUUUAAAGCAGGGGACUUAAAGGCAGAUCUGAUGGAGAGAAGAGGCAAGAUGUAACAAGAACUGCUCCUCUCCUCUCCGUUGGGCUCAGCAAAGGCUGCCCGAGCCUCGGCGAGGUGCAGGAGCUGGGUAAAGGACUCGUCUCUUUUGUAGCCUCCACCAACUCACCUGGUUUCUUUAAAAACCUUGAUUGAAAAACCUUGAAGUGAUGGCCUUUGGGCUGACAAAGCCAUUUCUGAGCAUUUUGAUGCUGACACUACAGAUGUUGGGCCCAGCGAGACAGUCCCUACCUAGAGUGAGGAAGAGGACCCCAGUUUCUAAGGCGAAUCUGCUCUUUGCACAAGGGCCUGGGCUGUUGGAUCUGGAGUUUGAAUUGUGAAGGGGUCGUGAUAGCUGUUUGCUCUGGUCUGGGCCUAUCCCUGCUUUCCAGCACAUGUUGGCCCCUGUACUGUUUUGCUUCAAAAAUAAGAAUAAAUCAAUGGCUUCUCUUGGCUCA
rnacentral:lncRNA from 1 species